rnacentral:rRNA from 1 species
UACGUAGGGGGCAAGGCGUUGUCCGGAUUUAUUGGGCGUAAAGAGCGUGUAGGCGGCCAGGUAGGUCCGCUGUGAAAACUCGAGGCUCAACCUCGAGAUGUCGGCGGAAACCAUCUGGCUAGAGUCCGGAAGAGGAGAGUGGAAUUCCUGGUGUAGCGGUGAAAUGCGCAGAUAUCUGGAGGAACACCGGUGGCGAAGGCGGCAUCCUGGACCAAUAUUGACGCUGAGGAGCGAAAGCUAGGGGAGCAAACGGG